rnacentral:rRNA from 1 species
UACGGAGGGUGCAAGCGUUAUUCGGAAUUACUGGGCGUAAAGCGCGUGCAGGCGGGUGGACAAGUCUGAUGUGAAAGCCCCGGGCUCAACCUGGGAAGUGCAUUGGAAACUGUUCAUCUUGAGUGCUGGAGAGGAAGGGGGAAUUCCCGGUGUAGAGGUGAAAUUCGUAGAGAUCGGGAGGAAUACCAGUGGCGAAGGCGCCCUUCUGGACGGCAACUGACGCUGAGACGCGAAAGCGUGGGGAGCAAACAGG